UUUCCGUAGGUGAACCUGCGGAAGGAUCAUUAUUGUAUAACCGAGGUGCGAGGGCUGUCGCUGACCCGAAAGGUCGUGGACGCCCGAGUGCCCUCACACACAUCCACCUCACCCCUCAGUGCACCACCGCGUGGGUCCCCCUUUGGCUUGUUCGGAGGGGGGCUUACGUUUUCACACAAACUUUGUAUGCAGUGUAGAAUGUAUUUUUUGUUUUUGCGAUCACGCAAUCAAUACAACUUUCAACAACGGAUCUCUUGGCUCUC
rnacentral:misc_RNA from 1 species